UUAAAAAUAGAGCUACCAUAUGAUCCAACAAUUCCUCUUCUGCAUAUAAAUCCAAAGGAAACAAAAUCCUUAUCUCAAAGAGACAUCUGUAUUCCCCUGUUCCCUACAGCAUUAUUCACAGUAGCCAAGGCAUGGAAACAACAAAAGUCUCCAUCAACAGAUGAGGGAAGAAAAUGGAAUGACCCAAGGUAGAAGUCCCAUUCUAAGUGUUUUUCCCUCCAGUUUUA